rnacentral:lncRNA from 1 species
UGCUUUCCAAAUCCGCCAUGCUUCCAGCGCUUGCCAAACUUGCCAUGCUUAAACUUUCCAUGACCAUAGCCAUGCUUAAACUUUCCACGACCAAAGCCAUGGUAACCUCCGUGACCAUAGCCAUGGGAACCUCCAUGGGACAACUGGUGGGCCCCGUAAGCAGCUGCAGCAGCAGCAGCACCUCCAGCUAACAAUGUCCCCAUUCCAGGUCCAUGCCCUGUUAUAGUUACUUGUUAGCCAAAAUGAAAAUAAACAGAAUGGCAAGCACACAUUAUAUAAAAAGCCACAUCAUUACUUAUUCUUAGGUUUGAGGGGGUAAAAAUGAUUCAAUCAAUCUAACAUUCAAACCAAUAGUUGACAAGGCCUGGCAAGUACAAGACAUGUUGCAACUACUGUCAAUACAUGCUCUUCCUAAUAAAAUACAUAAUUUCUUUCAAUUGGUAGCAAAUCUAACUAGAGAAAAUCCUAAAAGGCUAUUGAAUCAGAGAACUCUUUAGCCAAUCCCUAGACUUCUCUUUAUAUAUAGAAUUAUCAACCUCUGUAGAGAUGCAUUAUAAACUAAGCUUACAACAAAGAAAUUGAGCAACCACAAACACCCCAGUCAAGCUGUCCCUCGAUUAUUCAGGCAUUUCUAUUACACAUAAUCAUAUAGCUUCCAUCUAAGGUAAAAGGAAAAGUCUAAUUAAUUAAACAGAUGCACUUGCAAAUGCAGGGGUACACAGCGCGCCCAUGCACAUGACUCUUAAUGUGCUUACAAGGAAGAUAUAUUCACCACAAGAUAUAUUGGUGGUUGUAAAGAUGAAAUUUAGGAUAAAAGACAUAAAGUAAAGACAGAAUCUCUCAAACAUUCCCCCUUCACUCAUACAGCUAAGAGCCUAGGACCAUAAAGAACCUACAUGAGUUAAGGUAAGAAACCAUACAUUCCUAUCAACAUUAGACUCAACUACCAUGUCAUUAACACACAAUUUUUUUUUUUUAAAAAAAAAAAACUGCCUCGAGGAAUUUAAGUAUAAAGAUAACCAAAGAUACCUGAAUAAUGUGAAGCAGAUGGGCCAGGGUAACCAGCUGGAGGGUAAGCACCAGGAGGAGGGUAGCCGCCAGGGGGAGGGUAGCCGCCAGGAGGAGGAUACCCUGCUGGUGGGUAUCCUCCUGGGGGAGGGUAGCCUGAAGGUGGGUAGCCACCAGGGGGAGGGUAGCCCGAAGGUGGGUAGCCUCCUGCCGGUGGGUAUCCCUGUUGUGGAUAACCAUGUGGAGGGUAUGGUGGUGCGCUUGCAGGGUAAUGUCCACCAGCAUAGCCAGCAAGAUUUGAAAACAGUCC